UUACCUACGGGGGGCAGCAGUGAGGAAUAUUGGUCAAUGGGCGGAAGCCUGAACCAGCCAAGUCGCGUGAGGGAAGAAGGCCCUGCGGGUCGCAGACCUCUUUGGACGGGGAGCAAGGCCGCCGACGUGUCGGCGGAAGGAGAGUACCCGUAGAACAAGCAUCGGCUAACUCCGUGCCAGCAGCCGCGGUAAAACGUAGGGGGCGAGCGUUGUCCGGAAUGACUGGGCGUAAAGGGUGCGUAGGCGGCAUAAUAAGUUAGAAGUGAAAUACCCAGAGCUUAACUCGGGUGCUGCUUCUAAGACUG
rnacentral:rRNA from 1 species